rnacentral:rRNA from 1 species
UUUAACGGCCGCGGUAUUUUGACCGUGCAAAGGUAGCGCAAUCACUUGUCUUUUAAAUGGAGACCCGUAUGAAUGGCAAGACGAGGGCUUAACUGUCUCCCCCCCAUGGUCAAUGAAAUUGAUCUCCCCGUGCAGAAGCGGGGAUACCCACAUAAGACGAGAAGACCCUAUGGAGCUUUAGACGACCAGGUAACCCGCGCCACUACCUCUGCAUUAAAAGACUCCAAGCUCAACGGCACUUACCUGUAUGUCUUCAGUUGGGGCGACCGCGGGGUAAAGACAAACCCCCGUGAGGAUAGGGGUUACCACCCUACAGACAAGAGGUCCACCUCUAAGCACCAAAAUUUUUUUGACCCGUGAUCCGGCACAGCCGAUCAACGAACCGAGUUACCCUAGGGAUAACAGCGCAAUCCCCUUUAAGAGCCCUUAUCGACGAGGGGGUUUACGACCUCGAUGUUGGAUCAGGGUAUCCUAAUGGUGAAGCCGCUAUUAAGGG